rnacentral:rRNA from 1 species
GUGGGGAAUAUUGGGCAAUGGGGGAAACCCUGACCCAGCAACGCCGCGUGAAGGAAGAAGGUCUUCGGAUCGUAAACUUCUAUCCUUGGUGAAGAUAAUGACGGUAGCCGAGAAGGAAGCCCCGGCUAACUACGUGCCAGCAGCCGCGGUAAUACGUAGGGGGCAAGCGGUGUCCGGAAUGAUUGGCCGUAAAGGGCGCGUAGGCGGCCUGGUAAGUCUGGAGUGAAAGUACUGCUUUUAAGGUGGGAAGUGCUUUGGAUACUGUCGGGCUUGAGUGCAGGAGAGGUAAGUGGAAUUCCCGGUGUAGCGGUGAAAUGCGUAGAGAUCGGGAGGAACACCAGUGGCGAAGGCGACUUACUGGACUGUAACUGACGCUGAGGCGCGAAAGUGUGGGGAGCAAACAGGAUUAGAAACCCCGGUAGUCC